rnacentral:ncRNA from 1 species
GAACAUACGGCGGUGUGUAGAAUGAGGGAUGAGAUGUCUACGGCGCGAGGUUACAGGAGGAUCGAAUGGGAGGAGUGAACAUACCAGACAUCUCGACGGUAAGAAAGACUAGUAGUUCGAUGAACGAAGUAAUACGAUGAAGGAAUAUGCCAUAUCGCACCAAUGGUAUAUCGACAAGAAAUUCGAUGAACGAAGUAACGAGUACAUUGAAUGAAAUGAAUGAACAUACCAUGUCACUCCGACGGUGUAUCGAAAAGAAAGAUGAGACAUCCAAUAAACGAAGCAAGAAGCAAAUUGAGUGACAAGAUUGAAGAUACAGAGACGAUUCAAUGAGAAGUAUGAAAAUCGAGAAGACUGAAUGAGAAGGAUGCAAAUACUAAUCGCCCCGAUGGUACUUCGAUAGAAAGAUGUGAUGCCGAAGCAGCAGCGAGGAUAGUUAAGGAGAUCAAGAAGAUACUAAUAUUGAGACCCAAAUUGAAAAUUAAAAUAAGAUACCUGGAUAAGACGAAGUAACGACCCGUCGGCGAAGAAUGAUGAAUAUUUUAAUAUUUUUUUAAUUUGUUUUAAUAGAUGGUGUCCUCCCGAAUGUGAUAUGGGCCUGCUCGACACUUAAAGCAUUGGCACCUGGUAAGACCACCCACGUCAAAAACAGGGAAGUGAUGACAAUAUAUAUGUCAACAAGAAAUAGAUAGUCAAAUGCCUCAUCUAAUUAGUGACGCGCAUGAACGGAUCAACGAGAUUCCUACUGUCCCUGUCUACUGUCUAGCAAAACCAUAGCCAAGGGAACGGGCUUGGACGGAUCGGCGGGGAAAGAAGAUCCUGUUGAGCUUGACUCUAGUCCGGUUUUGUGAGAGCACACGAUAGCCGUAGCAUAGGCGGUAGCAUUCGCGUUGCCCCGCGCGCUGGCUGCCGUCACCGGCGGCGCGACGCUCUUUAUCGGUGGUUGUCACGUCGGCGUUUCCUCGCCGCUCUU